CCUACGGGAGGCAGCAGUGGGGAAUCUUGCGCAAUGGGCGAAAGCCUGACGCAGCCAUGCCGCGUGAAUGAUGAAGGUCUUAGGAUUGUAAAAUUCUUUCACCGGGGACGAUAAUGACGGUACCCGGAGAAGAAGCCCCGGCUAACUUCGUGCCAGCAGCCGCGGUAAUACGAAGGGGGGCUAGCGUUGCUCGGAAUUACUGGGCGUAAAGGGAGCGUAGGCGGAUAGUUUAGUCAGAGGUGAAAGCCCAGGGCUCAACCUUGGAAUUGCCUUUGAUACUGGCUAUCUUGAGUAUGGGAGAGGUUAGCGGAACUCCGAGUGUAGAGGUGAAAUUCGUAGAUAUUCGGAAGAACACCAGUGGCGAAGGCGGCUAACUGGCCCAUUACUGACGCUGAGGCUCGAAAGCGUGGGGAGCAAACAGGAUUAGAUACCCUGGUAGUCCACGCCGUAAACGAUGAGUGCUAGUUGUCGGCAUGCAUGCAUGUCGGUGACGCAGCUAACGCAUUAAGCACUCCGCCUGGGGAGUACGGUCGCAAGAUUAAAAACUCAAAAGGAAUUGACGG
rnacentral:rRNA from 1 species